UAAGAGGUCAAGCCUGCCCAGUGACUAAAAUUCAACGGCCGCGGUAUCCUGACCGCGCGAAGGUAGCGUAAUCACUUGUUUUUUAAAUAAAGACUAGUAUGAAUGGCAUCACGAGGAUCAAACUGUCUCCUCUCUACAAUCAGUGAAACUAAUCUCCCCGUGAAAAAGCAGGGAUAAGACUACAAGACGAAAAGACCCUAUGGAGCUUUAAAUACAUAACUAGCACUAUAGUUAUAAAUUUUAGGUUGGGGUGACCACGGAGAAAAACCUAUCCUCCAUGACGAAUGAGCUUACUUUAAACUAAAAGUCACAACCUUAUGUAUCAACAAAUUGACCUACUGACCCAAUAAUUUGAUCAGCGAACCAAGUUACCCUAGGGAUAACAGCGCAAUCCACUUUGAGAGUUCAUAUCGACAAGUGGGCUUACGACCUCGAUGUUGGAUCAGGGUCCCCCAGUGGUGCAGCCGCUACUAAAG
rnacentral:rRNA from 1 species